UUCCUCUCAGUUGCUCUCCGGUUUCUCUCGAUCCCUUUCUCCAGAAUCCAUCGCUUUCAUGGAUCAAGAACCCGACGCCAGCGGCGGAGGUGAGGCUCCUCCGGCGACCCAACCAACUCCAGCCGUCUCGGACCCUCUCCUCUCCCCCGCCGCCUCCGCCCCUUCCCCAUCGGACGACCUCUGCUACGAGGUGGACUCCCUCCACGACCUCGCCGCCCGCGGCCAGUGGCGCUCCGUCCUCGACAAGGUCGCCCGCGCCCGCUCCCUCUCACUCCUCUCUCGCCCCCAUGAUCACCUCGUCUACCUCACCUUCUCCGCCCUUGCCCUCCUCAAGCUUCGCCGCCCUGCCGACGCCCUCGCCGAGCUCGACUCCCUCCAACCCCUCCCCACCUCCCCCGACCCCUUCGGCUCCCCCCGCUUCCUCUUCGAGUCCUACCCCCAUCUCUACCCGGGCCGCCAGGGCUCCAUGCUCCCAUUCUCCCUCCGCCUCCUCUACGCCAGCCUCCCCCAGUCCCUCGGUGAUCGCCCCGAAACCCUAGAUCGUCUCUACUCCCUCCUCGAUUUCGUCCGCUCCAAGAACCGCGGCCACCAACGGCCGUCGGAGGAGAAAGACUCCUCCUUCGCCGCCGAUCGGUGGCGGAGGAGGGAGGUGCUGGUGAUGAGCUCCCUCAUCUGCAACCACUUCUGCCACCGCGAGUUCGACGUCGCCCUGGUGCUGAUCUGCGAUUUGCUGGUCCGAUCGCCCUCCGAUCCGGUGCUCCUCUCGAGACUGGCCUACAUCCAGCUCCAAAUUGGGGACCUCGAUGGAGCCAACGCUACGUUUGCGAAGGUGGAGGGGUUGAGGAGUGAGGAAAUGGGGGUGGAGUUCGAGAAUUUGGUGGGGAGGAACCGGGCGCUGGGGUUCUUGGUGGCGAAGGACUUUGCGUCGGCGGCGAGGGAGUACGAUGAGUGUAUCGAGAGAGAUCCGGGGGAUGUGGUGGCGGUGAACAACAAGGCGUUGUGUCUCAUGUAUUCGAGGGAUCUUUCGGAUGCGAUCAAGCUGUUGGAGGGGGCGCUGGAGAGGGUGCCCACGGCUGCUGUGAAUGAGACCGUGAUUGUGAAUCUCUGUAGUAUGUAUGAGCUUGCUUAUGUCAACAAUGGGGAGAUCAAAAAGAGUCUCAGCAAUUGGAUCGCUCGAGUCGCACCUGAUGAUUUUGAUCCAUCUUGCACUCGAAUCUGAUUUAAAGGAACAAAGGGUAAAAUGCUUCAUACGGACUAAACAUAAAAUAGCAGUCAAAGGACUGGAUGUCAAAUUCCUGUGACAAAAAGGGAGGAACAUUGGGAUAUUCACAAGGGAGAGACAAAGCUAUCGAAGAAGAUAUGGAAGAUAUCCUCAAGGAUAGAACAAAUUCAAAAGAUACAAAGAUUGGAAGACAUUUCUAAUCAUAAAAUUGCUAACUACAAAUAUAAGCCAAAAAUUUUAAGUUAUCUGGAGAGAGAAUCAUGAUAUGUCAACAUUCUCACUGGGCAACACCACAAGAACACCAUAGACCCAAGAAAAAUGGAAGAUUAGAAAGCAGUCAAAGCAUCAAAUAUUCAUGGUAUCCACCAAGGAAGAUUUAUUCUGAAAAGUUGUUACCACCAACAAUUCAUUAUUAGCAAAUUUUUUGAUAUGUAUACUUGCAAGAUGAUAUGGCAUAGCCAUAUAUAUAAAGAGAAUAAUAAAUACCUUCGGAUUCAGAUGACAUGAUCUCAAGGCUAUUACCUUCCAAUUCUCAUUCAUUAAUUUCUGACACCAUUUUCUAUACGAAGUUUGUUUUUUUAAUUGUUUGUUGAUAGGAUUCAUAUCUACAUGACAUAGAAAACAUG